rnacentral:rRNA from 1 species
CCUACGGGAGGCAGCAGUGAGGAAUAUUGGUCAAUGGGCGAGAGCCUGAACCAGCCAAGUCGCGUGAAGGAUGACGGCCCUACGGGUUGUAAACUUCUUUUGUCAGGGAGCAAUUGAGUCCACGUGUGGUCUUAGCGAGAGUACCUGAAGAAAAAGCAUCGGCUAACUCCGUGCCAGCAGCCGCGGUAAUACGGAGGAUGCGAGCGUUAUCCGGAUUUAUUGGGUUUAAAGGGAGCGUAGGCCGGCUUUUAAGUCAGCUGUGAAAGUCCGCGGCUCAACCGUGGAAUUGCAGUUGAAACUGGAGGCCUUGAGUGCACACAGGGAUGCCGGAAUUCAUGGUGUAGCGGUGAAAUGCUUAGAUAUCAUGAAGAACUCCGAUCGCGAAGGCAAGUGUCCGGGGUGCAACUGACGCUGAGGCUCGAAAGUGCGGGUAUCAAACAGGAUUAGAUACCCGUGUAGUC